AGCGUACACGGUGGAUGCCCUGGCAGUCAGAGGCGAUGAAGGGCGUGCUAAUCUGCGAUAAGCGCCGGUAAGGUGAUAUGAACCGUUAUAACCGGCGAUACCCGAAUGGGGAAACCCAGUGUGAUUCGUCACACUAUCAUUAACUGAAUCCAUAGGUUAAUGAGGCGAACCGGGGGAACUGAAACAUCUAAGUACCCCGAGGAAAAGAAAUCAACCGAGAUUCCCCCAGUAGCGGCGAGCGAACGGGGAGGAGCCCAGAGCCUGAAUCAGCAUGUGUGUUAGUGGAAGCGUCUGGAAAGGCGCGCGAUACAGGGUGACAGCCCCGUACACAAAAGCGCAUGUGCUGUGAGCUCGAUGAGUAGGGCGGGACACGUGGUAUCCUGUCUGAAUAUGGGGGGACCAUCCUCCAAGGCUAAAUACUCCUGACUGACCGAUAGUGAACCAGUACCGUGAGGGAAAGGCGAAAAGAACCCCGGCGAGGGGAGUGAAAAAGAACCUGAAACCGUGUACGUACAAGCAGUGGGAGCACAGGUUUACCUGUGUGACUGCGUACCUUUUGUAUAAUGGGUCAGCGACUUAUAUUCUGUAGCAAGGUUAACCGAAUAGGGGAGCCGGAGGGAAACCGAGUCUUAAUUGGGCGUUAAGUUGCAGGGUAUAGACCCGAAACCCGGUGAUCUAGCCAUGGGCAGGUUGAAGGUUGGGUAACACUAACUGGAGGACCGAACCGACUAAUGUUGAAAAAUUAGCGGAUGACCUGUGGCUGGGGGUGAAAGGCCAAUCAAACCGGGAGAUAGCUGGUUCUCCCCGAAAGCUAUUUAGGUAGCGCCUCGUGAAUUCAUCUCCGGGGGUAGAGCACUGUUUCGGCUAGGGGGCCAUCCCGGCUUACCAACCCGAUGCAAACUGCGAAUACCGGAGAAUGUUAUCACGGGAGACACACGGCGGGUGCUAACGUCCGUCGUGAAGAGGGAAACAACCCAGACCGCCAGCUAAGGUCCCAAAGUCAUGGUUAAGUGGGAAACGAUGUGGGAAGGCCCAGACAGCCAGGAUGUUGGCUUAGAAGCAGCCAUCAUUUAAAGAAAGCGUAAUAGCUCACUGGUCGAGUCGGCCUGCGCGGAAGAUGUAACGGGGCUAAACCAUGCACCGAAGCUGCGGCAGCGAACGUAUCACUUAAAGCGAUUCAGCGGGUUACGAUUGACGGAGCGAAGCGACGUCAAAGCGUAUACAAAGUCGAGUCGGUUUAAGGAUACGUUCGUUGGGUAGGGGAGCGUUCUGUAAGCCUGUGAAGGUGGCCUGUGAGGGUUGCUGGAGGUAUCAGAAGUGCGAAUGCUGACAUAAGUAACGAUAAAGCGGGUGAAAAGCCCGCUCGCCGGAAGACCAAGGGUUCCUGUCCAACGUUAAUCGGGGCAGGGUGAGUCGACCCCUAAGGCGAGGCCGAAAGGCGUAGUCGAUGGGAAACGGGUUAAUAUUCCCGUACUUGGUGUUACUGCGAAGGGGGGACGGAGAAGGCUAUGUUGGCCGGGCGACGGUUGUCCCGGUUUAAGCGUGUAGGUGUGUGUUCCAGGUAAAUCCGGUUCACUUUAACACUGAGGCGUGAUGACGAGGCACUACGGUGCUGAAGCAACAAAUGCCCUGCUUCCAGGAAAAGCCUCUAAGCAUCAGGUAACAUCAAAUCGUACCCCAAACCGACACAGGUGGUCAGGUAGAGAAUACCAAGGCGCUUGAGAGAACUCGGGUGAAGGAACUAGGCAAAAUGGUGCCGUAACUUCGGGAGAAGGCACGCUGACACGUAGGUGAAGUGAUUUACUCACGGAGCUGAAGUCAGUCGAAGAUACCAGCUGGCUGCAACUGUUUAUUAAAAACACAGCACUGUGCAAACACGAAAGUGGACGUAUACGGUGUGACGCCUGCCCGGUGCCGGAAGGUUAAUUGAUGGGGUCAGCGCAAGCGAAGCUCCUGAUCGAAGCCCCGGUAAACGGCGGCCGUAACUAUAACGGUCCUAAGGUAGCGAAAUUCCUUGUCGGGUAAGUUCCGACCUGCACGAAUGGCGUAAUGAUGGCCAGGCUGUCUCCACCCGAGACUCAGUGAAAUUGAACUCGCUGUGAAGAUGCAGUGUACCCGCGGCAAGACGGAAAGACCCCGUGAACCUUUACUAUAGCUUGACACUGAACAUUGAGCCUUGAUGUGUAGGAUAGGUGGGAGGCUUUGAAGUGUGGACGCCAGUCUGCAUGGAGCCGACCUUGAAAUACCACCCUUUAAUGUUUGAUGUUCUAACGUGGACCCGUAAUCCGGGUUGCGGACAGUGUCUGGUGGGUAGUUUGACUGGGGCGGUCUCCUCCUAAAGAGUAACGGAGGAGCACGAAGGUUGGCUAAUCCUGGUCGGACAUCAGGAGGUUAGUGCAAUGGCAUAAGCCAGCUUGACUGCGAGCGUGACGGCGCGAGCAGGUGCGAAAGCAGGUCAUAGUGAUCCGGUGGUUCUGAAUGGAAGGGCCAUCGCUCAACGGAUAAAAGGUACUCCGGGGAUAACAGGCUGAUACCGCCCAAGAGUUCAUAUCGACGGCGGUGUUUGGCACCUCGAUGUCGGCUCAUCACAUCCUGGGGCUGAAGUAGGUCCCAAGGGUAUGGCUGUUCGCCAUUUAAAGUGGUACGCGAGCUGGGUUUAGAACGUCGUGAGACAGUUCGGUCCCUAUCUGCCGUGGGCGCUGGAGAACUGAGGGGGGCUGCUCCUAGUACGAGAGGACCGGAGUGGACGCAUCACUGGUGUUCGGGUUGUCAUGCCAAUGGCACUGCCCGGUAGCUAAAUGCGGAAGAGAUAAGUGCUGAAAGCAUCUAAGCACGAAACUUGCCCCGAGAUGAGUUCU
rnacentral:rRNA from 1 species